GACGAACGCUGGCGGCGUGCUUAACACAUGCAAGUCGAACGGACAGGCCCUGCUUUUGUGGGGUGCUCGUGUGGCGAACGGGUGAGUAACACGUGAGUAACCUGCCCUUGACUUCGGGAUAACUUCAGGAAACUGGGGCUAAUAUCGGAUAGGAGCUCCUGCUGCAUGGUGGGGGUUGGAAAGUUUCGGCGGUUGGGGCUGGACUCGCGGCUUAUCAGCUUGUUGGUGGGGUAGUGGCUUACCAAGGCUUUGACGGGUAGCCGGCCUGAGAGGGUGACCGGCCACAAGGGGACUGAGAGACGGCGCAGACUCCUACGGGAGGCAGCAGGCGAGAAUAUUGCACAAUGGGCGGAAGCCAGAGACAGCAACGCCGCGUGCGGGAUGACGGCCUUCGGGUGGUAAACCGCUUUCGCCGGUGACGAAGCGUGAGUGACGGUAAUGGGUAAAGAAGCACCGGCUAACUACGUG
rnacentral:rRNA from 1 species